GAUAUAUUAGACAGGUGAAGAAUACAGAUAUAUUAGACAGGUGAAGAAUACAGAUAUAUUAGACAGGUGAAGAAUACAGAUAUAUAUUAGACAGGUGAAGAAUACAGAUAUACUCUGUGACUCAUCUCACUAUGAAAUGUUAAAGAGAAUUAAGAGAACUGACCAAACUUUGUUUAGGAUUUAAAUCAUGUGUCAAAGGUUUAUAGUUUUCAAAGAGAACUCAUGGAUUGUAAAUAUUCAAUGAAAGGUUUUAAAAAUAAUAUUCACGGUCCUUUCAAAACGGUGCAGAGCCUGAAAGGGACUGUAGACUCUAAAUAUAGAGUGUUAAUUGUCUCAUUCACAACGAUAACCCUGUUAGAGUCGUUUAUUGGAUCUGCAAUGACAAAACAUCGACGCUUUUCUAAUCAGAAGACUUAAAGUGCCUCAACUUUUGUACCUUACAGAGAACCGCGAUAAAAAUUAUCAAAUUUCAAAUAAAAAAUAGUUUUGCUAAGACAAAGGUAUCGUAAUCAUUUUUCAGAGAGAAUACCAUAAUGAAAUCAUUUUUCAGAGAGAAUACCCUAGCGUAAUCAUUUUUCAGAGAGAAUACCAUACCGUAAUCAUUUUUUAGAGAGAAUACCAUAACAUAAUCAGUUUUCAGAGAGAAUACCAUAAUGUAAUUAUUUUUCAGAGAGAAUAUCAUAAUGUAAUCAUUUUUCAGAGAGAAUACCAUAGCGUAAUCAUUUUUUAGAGAUAAUACCAUAACGUAACCAUUUUUCAGCGAGAAUACCAUAACGUAAUCAUUUUUCAGAGAGAAUACCAUUCGGCAGAGAACUUAAAUAAAACAAUGCCCUCGUCUAAAUAUAGAGAUGGUCGUCAUGAUCAAGAAGAACUAGAUUAUGAAGAUGCACUGGAUGAUGCACAUGAUGUUCCUGAUUAUAAGGAUCAUGAAGAAUAUGACCUUGAUUUCAAAGAUGACGAUGACAACGUUUUCCUGGAUUCCAGCAGUUCUACAAUAGUAUUAUCAGGUAGCAGCUCAGAAAGUGAAGAUUCCAGCAUGGUUUAAACAAAUUUAUUUUCAUCAGAAACAAUAACAAAAUUGUUAAAAUAGUUUUUUUUAUGUAUUACAUGCGUAAAUAGACAUUCUAAAAUCAUG